CCAAGGCUAAAUACUCCUGACUGACCGAUAGUGAACCAGUACCGUGAGGGAAAGGCGAAAAGAACCCCGGCGAGGGGAGUGAAAAAGAACCUGAAACCGUGUACGUACAAGCAGUGGGAGCCUCUUUUAUGGGGUGACUGCGUACCUUUUGUAUAAUGGGUCAGCGACUUAUAUUCUGUAGCAAGGUUAACCGAAUAGGGGAGCCGAAGGGAAACCGAGUCUUAACUGGGCGUUAAGUUGCAG
rnacentral:rRNA from 1 species